rnacentral:rRNA from 1 species
GGAGGAUGCGAGCGUUAUCCGGAUUUAUUGGGUUUAAAGGGUGCGUAGGCGGUUUAUUAAGUUAGUGGUUAAAUAUUUGAGCUAAACUCAAUUGUGCCAUUAAUACUGGUAAACUGGAGUACAGACGAGGUAGGCGGAAUAAGUUAAGUAGCGGUGAAAUGCAUAGAUAUAACUUAGAACUCCGAUAGCGAAGGCAGCUUACCAGACUGUAACUGACGCUGAUGCACGAGAGCGUGGGUAGCGAACAGGAUUAGAUACCCUGGUAGUCCACGCCGUAAACGAUGCUCACUGGUUCUGUGCGAUAUAUUGUACGGGAUUAAGCGAAAGUAUUAAGUGAGCCACCUGGGGAGUACGUCGGCAACGAUGAAACUCAAAGGAAUUGACGGGGGCCCGCACAAGCGGAGGAACAUGUGGUUUAAUUCGAUGAUACGCGAGGAACCUUACCCGGGCUUGAAAGUUAGCGACGGAUCCUGAAAGGGGUCUUCUCUUCGGAGCGCGAAACUAGGUGCUGCAUGGUUGUCGUCAGCUCGUGCCGUGAGGUGUCGGGUUAAGUCCCAUAACGAGCGCAACCCUUACCGUUAGUUGCUAGCAUGUAAUGAUGAGCACUCUAACGGGACUGCCACCGUAAGGUGAGAGGAAGGCGGGGAUGACGUCAAAUCAGCACGGCCCUUACACCCAGGGCUACACACGUGUUACAAUGGCCGGUACAGAGGGCCGCUACCAGGUGACUGGAUGCCAAUCUCAAAAGCCGGUCGUAGUUCGGAUUGGAGUCUGUAACCCGACUCCAUGAAGUUGGAUUCGCUAGUAAUCGCGCAUCAGCCAUGGCGCGGUGAAUACGUUCCCGGGCCUUGUACACACCGCCCGUCAAGCCAUGGGAGCCGGGGGUACCUGAAGUGCGUAACCGCAAGGAGCGCCCUAGGGUAAAACUGGUGACUGGGGCUAAGUCGUAACAAGGUAGCCGUACCGGAAGGUGCGGCUG